AGCAUCAUGAAGCCUAAAAACUCGUUGACCAAUCAAAAAGCGGAACAGUUUUCCUAGUGUCUUUGAUGAGUAUACAUAAAUAUGUUGAGAACAUCAAUCUAUCGAGGCCCAAGUUGAGCCGGCCAUUUUUACCCAGGCUAAUGGCCGGCAUUAUGGAAACUAACAGUCCAGUCCUGCCUCUCCGCGGUUUCUCAGAUAUGCGCGGCUGUUUUGCAGCUAGACGCGUGAAUUUAGAUAGGAAUAUCCAUAAGUGUGUUGAAAAUAGAAAUUCAUCAAGACUCUAGUUUGGUCAGCCAUUUUACCGCCAAAAUUGGCCGCCAUUUUGGAGAAAAAAACGAUCUGCCCUGCUCCUCCGAGGAAUAGUAAAUAAAGCAUUUCCAGGCAAGGAACAAGUUAACAAAAGCCUCCUGAAAGAUACUUUGGGGCCCUUCCUUUUCCAGAAUGGGGAACUCAAAAAAGGAAAGAAAGAGGUCCAAGGGCACUAAAGAAGCAAGCGGAUGUGGCAGAAGAUAUUGGACAGACUGUGAACAGCAUCGUUGUAGAAGUGCUUGAUACGGUUGCUCAAACAGAUGGCAAAUAAUGAGAUGCUGUACGCCGACUCUCGUAAGUUUUGUUCCAGCUAGCUGUAUUUGCACCUGGCCUUUUUAUUUUUGAUGCAUUAUACUCCCUUAUUUUACAUUUAUAUUUUUUAUGUAUAUUUUCAGAGAAUACACGAAUCAUUAAUUCAUCUUUGAAAUGCUUUAAACAUUCAUUACAUAUGUGAAACAUACCCAAAAAUACCAUUAUAUGACCAAGUUUAGCGGAAAGGAUGCAUCUAAAUAAAUCAUGUUUUUACUUUCUUCUUAUUCUUAUUCUACCUAAUUUAAAAAAAAAAAAAAAAAAAAAAAAAAAAAAAAAAAAAAAAAAAAAAAAAAAAAAAAUAAUAAGGUCUAUAAGAGAGCUGUUGAACUUAUUCUUGGUAUAACUUGACUUCAUAGCCUGCCAGAAAUUGGUAAGCCGCACAAAAAAGAUUAAGUAAUUGACAAAAACAGGGAUUUCAUGUUCAAUUUUUACAUUUCCCCAGCGUCAUGGAAGAAAAAAAAAUGUGAACAACUUAGUCUCCAGUUUUAACAAUAUGUGCUUUAUUGAUUCCUUCCCAUUAAAGUCG